rnacentral:rRNA from 1 species
UGGGGAAUAUUGCGCAAUGGGCGGAAGCCUGAUGCAGCGACGCCGCGUGAGCGAUGAAGGCCUUCGGGUUGUAAAGCUCUGUGGGGAGGGAAGAAUAAGGGCAGGUUAAUACCCUGUCUGAUGACGGUACCUCCUUAGCAAGCACCGGCUAACUCUGUGCCAGCAGCCGCGGUAAUACAGAGGGUGCAAACGUUGUUCGGAAUUACUGGGCGUAAAGCGCGUGCAGGCUGCCCUGCAAGUCGGAUGUGAAAGCCCUCGGCUCAACCGAGGAAGAGCACCCGAUACUGCAGGGCUAGAGUCCCGGAGAGGAAGGUGGAAUGCUUGGUGUAGAGGUGAAAUUCGUAGAUAUCAAGCGGAACACCGGUGGCGAAGGCGGCCUUCUGGACGGUGACUGACGCUGAGACGCGAAAGCGUGGGAAACAAACA